UACGUAGGGGGCAAGCGUUGUCCGGAUUUAUUGGGCGUAAAGAGCGUGUAGGCGGUUUGGUAGGUCCGCUGUGAAAACUCGAGGCUCAACCUCGAGACGCCGGUGGAAACCAUCAGGCUAGAGUCCGGAAGAGGAGAGUGGAAUUCCUGGUGUAGCGGUGAAAUGCGCAGAUAUCAGGAAGAACACCCGUGGCGAAGGCGGUUCUCUGGGACGGUACUGACGCUGAGACGCGAAAGCGUGGGGAGCGAACAGG
rnacentral:rRNA from 1 species